ensembl:lncRNA
GUCACAGCUGUGAUACAAGAAGGGCACUAAUAAUGCUAAGCACAGAAGGUUCUUGAAAUGCCCUUUCUCCUCAUUUACAGCAGUACAGAUUUUCCUUGGCUUACAAUGGGGUUACAUCCCAAUAAACCCAUUAUUUUUUAAGGCACACACCACCAGAUUAUGCCCUCGCACUGAUCACCAAAAUUAUGCUUUGCAACUGCCCUUGUUAGUGCCUCAACCAUACCAAGACGCAUUGUGAGACUCUGACAGGAGGUGACACCUGUCAGUGUUCCUGUCCAAGUCUUCAGAUCCUCUCAAGGUUGAGUCCCAGGUUGUGGUUUGGGGCUUCAGUUUGCCACAGAGUGUGUCUGACAAAAGAAGAGAGAAAGCUAGAAAGAGAAAAGGAGCCAAAGAGAGCACAGAGGAAGAAACUGGAGGAAAACUGAAAUAGUCCUGCUGUGAUUUCAUUGGCCAUUCUCUUCCCUCUUCCUGAGUGUGAGAAAUUCCCACUCUGGCUGUUCCUUAUCAUUAUUUUCCCUCAUAUCCUAUGUCUAUUCUAGCUGCAUCCAUCUCUCUCGUGCUGUCCCAUGCAUACACGAAGCUCAGUCAGCGCCUAAAGGCCUACCUCCAUCAAAUUCCCAAACCAAGAAUUCUCAGUGUGCAAGUGAAAAUUUAGGACAUCAAGUUUUGCCAUAAAGUACUACCCUAAACCAACACCCCUUCCUCUCCUUCCUACCUUGAUGCUACCUGAUUUUGAGGGUAACUGGGGGCAGAUAUAGCUAUUGCCUAGAGGUAUGAAAAGGACUAUUUCUACAUCUCCUGGCCAAGGAGAUGACCUGACAGAGUCAGCAUCUUGCAACCCCAUAAAUAAUCAGUUAUUUGUAAAGUUCUAAAUUUGUGCUACAGCUUCCUUUUUUGAAUUGAAAGAUGAUUGUUUAUUUUCAAUGAUACUUGACUAGGA